rnacentral:lncRNA from 1 species
AGACGCGAAAACCGAUAGGGUGACAAAAGAAAAUCUCUAUCAAUUGAGCCAUCGUAAAAUCUGCACAAGAUUUGGGGCUUGAUAUUGAGUAAGAAAAAAAGCCCAAUUACAAACCUUAUACUUAUACAUUGAAUUGAUUACUGAAUUUGGAGAAGAAUAUUUGAGAAUAAUAACUGCAGAUGAGUAAGAAGAAAGAAAUGGAGGAUUUGGAAAACAACAAN